rnacentral:lncRNA from 1 species
UAUUAUGAUGAAAGGGACAGUUUAUUAAUCCAAAAGCCGCAAAUGCAUUUAGAUGGUCCUAUUUAAUAGUGUAAAAGUUUUUGGUUGAGUGAUUGUAAACGGCAAAAUAAAUCCUAUUUUCCACAAGCUACACUAACAAAACGAUUCAAGUAGUCAAAAUUUUAAACCCAAAAAAAAAAAGCACUUUUUUUCUCUUCGGCAUUUCAACAAACACCUUUCCUGCGCACUACCCUAUAUUACAGCAAACAAUAUCCAUUUCACAUCACAAGUAAAACGCAAUAAUCCCUAACCCUAAGCUUCUUCCCGAACAGAGUUUCGGUUUGCUAAACAGUUUCCUUCUGAAGCAAAAGCAGAAGCUUUUCACCAAAGCUGCUUCUUUUACGGCUCCAAAGCUAAUUUCCGCUUCCUGAUGCAGCAAAAAUCAACAGCAAAAGCAGAACCCAUUUCGAAAACCACCCAAAAGAAGCACUUCCUUAUACAACUAAAUCGUGAAAAAAUUUCAAAAAAAAUUAAAAUAUAAGCGUUGAAUCUGAACCCUAACCCAAAGGAGAAAUCGUCGAAGAUGAAGGAGGAGGGAAUGGAGUUUGGGGAGAGCGGCGCCGAGAGGAACGAAGGGCUAAAAUUUUUUCUUUUUUUUAUUUGUUUUCAGAAG